rnacentral:rRNA from 1 species
UGGGGGAUAUUGCACAAUGGAGGAAACUCUGAUGCAGCGACGCCGCGUGAGGGAAGACGGUUUUCGGAUUGUAAACCUCUGUCUUCAGGGACGAAAUGAAUGACGGUACCUGAGGAGGAAGCUCCGGCUAACUACGUGCCAGCAGCCGCGGUAAUACGUAGGGAGCAAGCGUUGUCCGGAAUUACUGGGUGUAAAGGGAGCGUAGGCGGGAAUGCAAGUUGAAUGUCAAAUCUACCGGCUUAACUGGUAGCCGCGUUCAAAACUGCGUUUCUUGAGUGAAGUAGAGGCAGGCGGAAUUCCUAGUGUAGCGGUGAAAUGCGUAGAUAUUAGGAGGAACACCAGUGGCGAAGGCGGCCUGCUGGGCUUUUACUGACGCUGAGGCUCGAAAGUGUGGGUAGCAAACA